CUAAGGAAAGCUCAAUGUUGAACCUGAUAAUGACAGCCUUCCAUGUGGUUUUCUUUGGAUUUAUAAUAAUUGUUGGCUUUUGCAAUGGAAAAGUUGAAAACUUAGUAAAGCCAGGAGGGAUAGCUCCUUAUGGUGUAAGCGGGAUUCUUGAUGGAGCAGCCAUAGUUUACUUCAGUUAUAUUGGAUAUGAUACAGUGUCCACCAUGGCUGAAGAAAUAAGAAACCCUUCCAAGACUCUACCUGUUGGAAUUGUUGGCUCAGUCCUCAUUGUCUCUGCCCUCUAUUGCCUCAUGGCUUUAGCUUUGUGCCUUUUGCUACCUUAUAAUAUGGUUCCAGGAUGUUACUGCCGAUGGAAGAGAAUGAAAAGCAAAAGAUUAAAGCAAUGAGAAGACCUUGGGGAGCCCGAGGCGUAGAUUGGGAUUAACUUUAGAUUGGCUAGCUUGGAGUGCGUAUGAGGUACAGACGUACAGUUUGGUGAUCCACCAGUUUAGGACACCCUCUUUUGCUGUUUGGAGUGCUCCUAUCAUUUCGGAGCCUACAUUUUGGUAUAUAUCCUCGUUCGUUGCAUAUGUGUAUAUAUUUGUUCAGGGGUACGGCGGGGCCCUGUCCCGCCAUAUGUUUCUGUUGGUCUGUUUAGAGGUCUGUAGACGUAAUUGUGGGUGUGUGUGCCUACUUCUGUACAGAUGUGUUUAUAUGACCCUAUUCGCUAUGGCAGCCUUGUCGGCGUGCAUUUGUAUAUGUUUUGGGCCGUUGUGCCAUUUGAUAGCCUUGUCGGCUUUUGAUACAUUUGAUAGC